UACGUAGGAGGCAAGCGUUGUCCGGAAUCACUGGGCGUAAAGAGCGUGUAGGCGGCCAGGUAGGUCUGCUGUGAAAACUCGAGGCUUAACCUCGAGCUGUCGGCGGAAACCAUCUGGCUAGAGUCCGGAAGAGGAGAAUGGAAUUCCCGGUGUAGCGGUGAAAUGCGCAGAUAUCGGGAAGAACACCCGUGGCGAAGGCGGCUCUCUGGGACGGUACUGACGCUGAGACGCGAAAGCGUGGGGAGCGAACAGG
rnacentral:rRNA from 1 species